GACAGAGGGUGCAACCGUUGUUCGGAAUUACUGGGCGUAAAGCGUGUGUAGGCGGCUACAUAAGUCGGAUGUGAAAGCCCCGGGCUCAACCCGGGAAGUGCACUCGAUACUGCGUAGCUUGAGUCUCGGAGAGGUUGGUGGAAUUCUCGGUGUAGAGGUGAAAUGCGUAGAUAUCGUAAGGAAGACCAGUGGCGAAGGCGGGUCUCUGGACAGUUCCUGACGCUGAGGCACGAAGGUCAGGGGAGCAAACGGG
rnacentral:rRNA from 1 species